AUGGCUAGUCCUCUUUCUGCUCCUAUGUCCCCUGAGUUUGAAGUCCUUCACUUCAAACAAAAGCAAGGAGAAAAUUUAAAGUAUGCUUGGUUUAGAAUGAUGGAAUCUUAUCGUAAGUGCACCCUAGAAGUAAAUUUCAGAAUUUUGCUUCGCAACUUUUAUGUUGGGCUUAAUUUGUCUCAUAGACAACUUUUAGAUUGUCUUGCCAAGGGCAAUUUUAUUGAAAUUGAUCCCAGUAUCGCGCAUGAAAUUAUAGAACGUAUAGUAGGAACUUUACCUCAACAAAAGGGGCUCCAUCAUACCGAAGAGAAAAUGCAAGUUUUGAAAAAAAUUGCGAGGUAA
rnacentral:rRNA from 1 species